CUCACCCCUACCCCACAUGACCCCCCAUUACAUUUUGUUUCCAUUCUUGGAAUUGAAAUAUAUACAGAGAUAAAAAAAAGGAAUUAAAAAGGGAGGAGGGACCCACUCUAUUUUUCCCAAGAUUUCAUUCUCUUUUCCAUUCUCGGAUUCAUUUUGAAUACAAAAAUAGAGAAGAACAGAGAAGAGGCACUCAUAGGGAAGCCAUCAUCUUCAUAUAUCUACAAACAUACAACACAUACAAUUUCCAUUAAAAAUACAUACGCAGACAACUUGGGGGGAGGGGGUUCUUGAUUCUUUUCCAUUUUGGGUUCCCAACAGACACGCACAGAUCUGGCGAACACAUACAUUGAGCGAGAAAUCAAGAAUGAAGAGGAUUUGAGAGAUUGGUUAUCUUUCUUUGGAAUUCUGUUGUGGUAUUCUUCAAGGCUGAUUCAGGGUUCUUCAGCACGCAGAUUUGCCUUUUUGAUUGACUGGUAUUUGAAAUAAAAUCAUCGUUGAGGUCCAUUUCUACUCUUUUCCUCUUUUAUUUCAUUGUUGAUAGAAUAUGAUAUAUUGGAUGGAAUUUUGUGUGUUGUUUGAUCUUGAUUAGUAAUGAAUUGUUAUUUUGAUA